CUGGUUUUGUACAGCUCCUGGGAGCUCCCUUCUGUCUGCUGGAGCGGAUGCUGUCCGAUUCAUGGAUCUUUGAAUAAAGCAGGAUGGGUCCCCCUAUUCGGCUGCCACCAACCUCCCCAGGCUCCUGAUCGUCUUCCCUGAGGCCCUCCUGCUCCCCGAACCCCCACCCAGCAGACGGUAGUCGGGACCCCUACGCGGGAAGGGGACAGGACGCCGGGACCCCACUGCAGCCAGGCGGAGACUCAGGUCCGGACGGGGCGGAGGGCGCCGAAAGGGCGCAGACCCGGGCUGCCGCCGCUUCCAGCCGGUUCCCGCAGGUUCUUUCAGACCCUCCCGGUCUUGACCCCGACAGCGCACACGCACCAUCUCGCAGCGCCGCCCGGGUCCUUCCGGCGUCCUCCCCACGGCCUCGGCAGGUGAGAGCAACGCGGACGGCACACCUGAGGCCGUGCGGAACAGGUACGUUCCGGGGGCGUGGGGGCUGAGAGCUACUUCCACGCGGCUGAGCAGCCCGCCCCUGGCCCUGAUUGGACAAUACCCCGGGCCCUCGCGUUCUGAUUGGCCAGAGUUCCGGGACCACCACGUCCUAACUGGUUAGUGCCCUGGGCAACACCCUCGAGUCCCCGAUUGGACAGUUCUUCCAGCCCGGACCCUGAGUCCUGCAUGACAGGCCAUUGGGAUGCACGUGUCUGACCCGCAGGACUGGUUCCGGCGCCGGUCGCAGAACCCGCUCCAGGCCGGGCGGGCUGGCUUCUGCCGGCCGCUCGAUGGUCUGCCCGCGUCCUUCUCCUGGACCGGAAGUUCCUGACUCACUUGCUCCUCGGAGCGCCUAGUGUCUGGAGCCGGCUCAUGAUGAGAGGGCCUGGUGACCCCGGGAUCAGGGGUCGGCUGGGGGCGUGGCGUGCUCCCUGAUAAAGAACACCGUGCAGUGCGACAUCACCGCCUGCGAGGCAGAGGCCGGCUGUGUUUUGACAUGUGACCUUUGUUACCCCAGGAGGUGCCACCUUUCAUCCUUCCCCUUCACCCCCCUCCCAGCCCCACUUCUGGGGCUUGAGCUCAGCAAACCGCAGGUACUUUAUCUCCGUGGGGCUUCUCUCAGCGCAGCCACAGGUGAGAGACGUUCGAACCCUCCUCUGAACUCCAAGGGGUCUUACAAGAGUUGUUUUGAAAGAAUUCGUUUUGCUGAAGCUGCUGUAACCUACAUCUAGCUAUACACAAAUGGUUGCUAAGGCCAUUCACUAGGCAAAAAGUGCACUUUGUUCCAGGCAGCUGUUUGUCCGGGAUGUUUACGGUUUGGCAAAAUGCAAAAAGUUCAACUUUCUGAGAACAGUAGUUUCAGAGAAGAGGAUGCGCGUAAACCCUGUUUCCCAGUGGUCCCUGGACUCAUCUGUCAGUGUCACUAUUAACUCCAUUUUGUCAACAUUUAAACCAUUUUACUGUGCAGGGAAAUUUAUGUUGGUUCAGUUUUUGGUGUAUCCCCAGAGAAUGUUUAAAUAUAAAAGUCGGGUCAUUUCCCUGA